UCUUUCUCACCGUUCAUCCACUAGAUAGCGCCAACUCCCCCUUCUCCGGAGAUGUGUGCAUUCAUCCUGCACACCAGGAUUCAAUCAGCUCAUCAGCCACGGAGUACAAGAGGAGCUGACUGCCAGUACUUCGAUGCCAGCAAUGGUGUUCCCUCGUGACGCCCUGGAUCCUCCUUGUGACGAUCAAGCCUGGUACCUAGAACAAUCUUCCCUCGAGACGCCGUGGAAAAUACCCACUGGAUGACCGAGAUCCCACCAUCUCCUCCGCAGUUACAAACCUUCUCUGGAUUCCCCAGCUGGUUGUCGGGCCGCUCCUCUGUUUCCGCCUCAACGAGCUUACCUGUCCGCCCUCUGCCGCACUUCACCCUUUCCUCUGGAUUUCCUCCUUCAAUAAUCUGGAGUUACCGGACCCACAAAGGAAUCAUCACCCCGAGACUUCAGAAAACCCUUUCUGGACUGAGACCGUCAAGACUAAAAUGCGCUGUCAGCUCCAUGAGUUCCCCCCUGGACCGGAACCGUAUCUUACACCCACCUUAUAUGACAUUAAACUAUUUUUAGCUGAUUCCUGCUUCGCCUGUGGUGUUCUGGAUUUGGGCAAAGCAAUUAGAACCUAUCAUGACACCUGCUGGUGUAAAACAAGGACAGUGAAAGUCUAACUGAAGGAAGACCGAUCUUCAUGUUGUACUGAAUCCAAACACAAGUUCCUGUUUUAGCUAGCGAUGCUCAUGGCAGUUACUAACAAAAGUUGCUACUCUGUUAAAUAAAGGCCGAAUUGGAUCU